CAUAACAGAUCCAAUGUUAGUGAACUUCGAGGAUACUGUGAUCUUCUUCCUCGUUCGCUCGAGAGGGGGCAUUGCCUGGAGAAGGGUCUCGGAUCGUUCUGAAGUAGUUGCAGUAGCGAGCAGAGUGUUGCUGAAGCGAGAAGCGGCUCGAGGAGGAGACGAGCUCAUUCAGCUUGCUCCACCUCGCCUUCAGCGUCCUGUGACCGAACUCGAAGAUGUCACCUUUUCCUCCCUUCUCCGCUAUCAUGGCCUUGAUCAGCUUCAGGACUCUCAGGUGGGUGUCGCGAGAGACGCCCAUGGUGUUCAACGACAAGUA
rnacentral:lncRNA from 1 species